CAAAAUCUGAACUGCGUCUGAACUGGGGUGGCACUGGAGACGGAGACGAAAUGGCAAUCAAUGAAAACACGAGAUCCGCAAAGGCAAAGCAAACUAACUUUAUGUGGCCAUGAUCAGCAAAAGUUUUUCUUCGACUACCUUGUAAAUCGACGCCCACAGGGCACGGUUGCCACCUUGUGGAUAAAUUAAUUACUACAAAAAAAAUUAAAUGCGCAUGUGCGACCUGCACGGUUACAAAAAUCCAACGGUGCGCAUACUCUUCUGAUGACGAAAUUCGCAUCACGCUGACUGUUCGCUGACCCUCGCGUACGUG